rnacentral:rRNA from 1 species
GACGAACGCUGGCGGCGUGCUUAACACAUGCAAGUCGAACGGAAACGCACUGAUUUUGUGGGGUGCUCGGUUGGCGAAGGGGGGAGUAACACGUGAGUAACCUGCUCUUGACUUUGGGAUAACUUCAGGAAACUGGGGUUAAUACCGGAUAGGAUCUCCUGCUGCAUGGUGGGGGUUGGAACUUUUCGGCGGGAGGGGAUGGACUCGCGGGUUAGCAGCUUGCUGGUUGGGUAGUGGCUUACCCAGCCUUUGGCGGGUCGCCGGCCUGUGAGGGUGACCAGCCACAAGGGGACUGAGAGACGCCGCAGACGCCUACGGGAGGCAGCAGGGGGGAGUAUGGCACAAUGGGCGCAAGUCUGAGGCAGAAACGCCGCGUGCGGGAUGCCGGCCUGCGGGUUGAGAACCGCUGUCGCUUGUGACGAAGCGUGAGUGACGGUAAUGGAUGAAGAAGCACCGGCUAACUACGUG